rnacentral:lncRNA from 1 species
GGUCGGCUUGGGAUUCCAGUGCUGGGGCCCCGGGUUGGGAGGCAGCUGCUUGAGUUUCCAGGCGACCUGCCCGAGCACACCAACCAUCUCUCCUUGCAGGUGAGGCUAAUGCUAUCCAGCAGCUCUCCCCAACCGUAUAUGGUUAUAUAGCUCGCUUCUUAUUCAGAACCUCCAAUUUCUGCCGUUCAACAACAAUAACAACUGGGGGGGUGGGGGGGGGGAAGGAAGGAAGGAAAGAAAGAGAGAAAAUAAAAAGAAAGAAAGAGAUGGAGGGGGAGGACUUAAGCUAUGGGGCUGUGGAGCUAU